CCUACGGGUGGCUGCAGUGGGGAAUAUUGGACAAUGGGCGAAAGCCUGAUCCAGCCAUGCCGCGUGUGUGAAGAAGGCCUUCGGGUUGUAAAGCACUUUCAGUGGGGAAGAAAGCCUUGGGGCUAAUACCCUCGAGGAAGGACAUCACCCACAGAAGAAGCACCGGCUAACUCCGUGCCAGCAGCCGCGGUAAUACGGAGGGUGCGAGCGUUAAUCGGAAUUACUGGGCGUAAAGCGCGCGUAGGCGGUCUGAUAAGCCGGUUGUGAAAGCCCCGGGCUCAACCUGGGAACGGCAUCCGGAACUGUCAGGCUAGAGUGCGGGAGAGGAAGGUAGAAUUCCCGGUGUAGCGGUGAAAUGCGUAGAGAUCGGGAGGAAUACCAGUGGCGAAGGCGGCCUUCUGGACUGACACUGACGCUGAGGUGCGAAAGCGUGGGGAGCAAACAGGAUUAGAUACCCUAGUAGUC
rnacentral:rRNA from 1 species